rnacentral:tRNA from 1 species
GCCCCAGUGGCCUAAUGGCUAAAGGUACUACUCUUCUAAGCCAGGUAUUGUGGGUUCAAGUCCUAUCUGGAGUA